rnacentral:rRNA from 1 species
GUUAGCGACGGACGGGUGAGUAACACGUGGGUAACCUGCCUGUAAGACUGGGAUAACUCCGGGAAACCGGGGCUAAUACCGGAUGGUUGUUUGAACCGCAUGGUUCAAACAUAAAAGGUGGCUUCGGCUACCACUUACAGAUGGACCCGCGGCGCAUUAGCUAGUUGGUGAGGUAACGGCUCACCAAGGCAACGAUGCGUAGCCGACCUGAGAGGGUGAUCGGCCACACUGGGACUGAGACACGGCCCAGACUCCUACGGGAGGCAGCAGUAGGGAAUCUUCCGCAAUGGACGAAAGUCUGACGGAGCAACGCCGCGUGAGUGAUGAAGGUUUUCGGAUCGUAAAGCUCUGUUGUUAGGGAAGAACAAGUACCGUUCGAAUAGGGCGGUACCUUGACGGUACCUAACCAGAAAGCCACGGCUAACUACGUGCCAGCAGCCGCGGUAAUACGUAGGUGGCAAGCGUUGUCCGGAAUUAUUGGGCGUAAAGGGCUCGCAGGCGGUUUCUUAAGUCUGAUGUGAAAGCCCCCGGCUCAACCGGGGAGGGUCAUUGGAAACUGGGGAACUUGAGUGCAGAAGAGGAGAGUGGAAUUCCACGUGUAGCGGUGAAAUGCGUAAAGAUGUGGAGGAACACCAGUGGCGAAGGCGACUCUCUGGUCUGUAACUGACGCUGAGGAGCGAAAGCGUGGGGAGCGAACAGGAUUANAUACCCUGGUAGUCCACGCCGUAAACGAUGAGUGCUA